UUGAACUGAAGAGUUUGAUCCUGGCUCAGAUUGAACGCUGGCGGCAUGCCUUACACAUGCAAGUCGAACGGCAGCACGGGUGCUUGCACCUGGUGGCGAGUGGCGAACGGGUGAGUAAUACAUCGGAACAUGUCCUGUAGUGGGGGAUAGCCCGGCGAAAGCCGGAUUAAUACCGCAUACGAUCUACGGAUGAAAGCGGGGGACCUUCGGGCCUCGCGCUAUAGGGUUGGCCGAUGGCUGAUUAGCUAGUUGGUGGGGUAAAGGCCUACCAAGGCGACGAUCAGUAGCUGGUCUGAGAGGACGACCAGCCACACUGGGACUGAGACACGGCCCAGACUCCUACGGGAGGCAGCAGUGGGGAAUUUUGGACAAUGGGCGAAAGCCUGAUCCAGCAAUGCCGCGUGUGUGAAGAAGGCCUUCGGGUUGUAAAGCACUUUUGU
rnacentral:rRNA from 1 species